UUUGCCCGCUCGCCGGGGGUCGAAGAGCAUCACACGUUCCCCGGACUCAAAGCAACGAGCGAGCCAGCACUUUCUGCUCAGAUCACCCGAUGGGUUCCAGGUCCUGCUCCUACGUCUUCUUGCUCGGCCUUUGCUCCCUGCUGCUAGUGGUGCUUUCAGGCCAGCGCACGCUAGCUCGAGACACUCCCGUGUCCACAGCAACGGCCUUGGCUCCAUUUGUUCAUGCGCCUGCCAAGGGCGACGCCGGCGGCCACCGUAAGUAACCCACUUGCUCAACACUCGUUCCUAUGGAGUUAUGCUUCAACACUCGUAGCUAGCUGGUGUUCAUGCAUAGCUUGUGUGACCACAGGUGCUGAUGUGGAUAAGCCUCGAGUAUCGGAUGAGAAGCCAACAAUAACCGGAAUAAUCUGGAGGCCCGUGCCUAAGAUCCACUGCCCGUCCAUCUUUUGCGGUACCAAGGCUGCCACUGCCACUGCCCCUGCGGCAACGGCACAUCCAUGACAAGAAGAAGAUAGAGUGGUGGUUCGCAAUGUAAUCAUAUGCAUGUUUUCCUACCCUGGUUUUAGUAAUUUAGAUAUAUAUGUAUGUGUUCCACGAGUGUUGCAGCGUGCCUGCAAAGGCCUCUCGAUGGAUACUAGUAGUGCUAUGGUAGCACGGUCGGGUUGUAGUUUCAUUCAUUGUAUCUGUCGAUCAUGCAAUUGGUUGCUGUCUCUCGGUCCUUUUUUUGUUGUUGUUGAGGAAUAACAACGUGUUCAUUUUUUUUUUGAGGAAUUUCCGAAAGCUGUAACCGUGCGACCCUUGCGACGCACCUCACGUUCGCCCAUAAAACAAC
rnacentral:lncRNA from 1 species